CGCGGCCUAUCAGCUUGUUGGUGAGGUAAUGGCUUACUAAGGCUUCGACGGGUAACCGGCCUGAGAGGGUGACCGGUCACACUGGGACUGAGACACGGCCCAGACUCCUACGGGAGGCAGCAGUGGGGAAUAUUGCACAAUGGGCGAAAGCCUGAUGCAGCGACGCCGCGUGGGGGAUGACGGCCUUCGGGUUGUAAACCUCUUUCGCCAGGGACGAAGAGCAAUUGACGGUACCUGGAGAAGAAGCACCGGCCAACUACGUGCCAGCAGCCGCGGUAACACGUAGGGUGCGAGCGUUGUCCGGAAUUAUUGGGCGUAAAGAGCUCGUAGGCGGUGUGUCGCGUCGGCCGUGAAAACUUGGGGCUUAACUCUGAGCGUGCGGUCGAUACGGGCAUCACUUGAGUUCGACAGGGGAGACUGGAAUUCCUGGUGUAGCGGU
rnacentral:rRNA from 1 species